rnacentral:rRNA from 1 species
GACGAACGCUGGCGGCGUGCCUAAUACAUGCAAGUAGAACGCUGAAGGAGGAGCUUGCUUCUCUGGAUGAGUUGCGAACGGGUGAGUAACGCGUAGGUAACCUGCCUGGUAGCGGGGGAUAACUAUUGGAAACGAUAGCUAAUACCGCAUAAGAGUAGAUGUUGCAUGACAUUUGCUUAAAAGGUGCAAUUGCAUCACUACCAGAUGGACCUGCGUUGUAUUAGCUAGUUGGUGGGGUAACGGCUCACCAAGGCGACGAUACAUAGCCGACCUGAGAGGGUGAUCGGCCACACUGGGACUGAGACACGGCCCAGACUCCUACGGGAGGCAGCAGUAGGGAAUCUUCGGCAAUGGACGGAAGUCUGACCGAGCAACGCCGCGUGAGUGAAGAAGGUUUUCGGAUCGUAAAGCUCUGUUGUAAGAGAAGAACGAGUGUGAGAGUGGAGAGUUCACACUGUGACGGUAUCUUACCAGAAAGGGACGGCUAACUACGUGCCAGCAGCCGCGGUAAUACGUAGGUGGCAAGCGUUAUCCGGAUUUAUUGGGCGUAAAGAGAGUGCAGGCGGUUUUCUAAGUCUGAUGUGAAAGCCUUCGGCUUAACCGGAGAAGUGCAUCGGAAACUGGAUAACUUGAGUGCAGAAGAGGGUAGUGGAACUCCAUGUGUAGCGGUGGAAUGCGUAGAUAUAUGGAAGAACACCAGUGGCGAAGGCGGCUACCUGGUCUGCAACUGACGCUGAGACUCGAAAGCAUGGGUAGCGAACAGG